rnacentral:rRNA from 1 species
AGAGUUUGAUCAUGGCUCAGGACGAACGCUGGCGGCGUGCUUCACACAUGCAAGUCGAACGGGGCUCAUCCGGUCGUAAGACUGGAGAAGGCCUAGUGGCGAACGGGUGAGUAACACGUGAGGAACCUGCCCCGAAGACCGGGAUAACAGCGGGAAACCGCUGCUAAUACCGGAUGCCCCCACCGGGCCGCAUGACCUGGUGAGGAAAUGGGCUUCCGCUUCGGGAGGGCCUCGCGGCCUAUCAGCUAGUUGGUGGGGUAAAGGCCUACCAAGGCUACGACGGGUAGCUGGUCUGAGAGGACGACCAGCCACACUGGGACUGAGACACGGCCCAGACUCCUACGGGAGGCAGCAGUGGGGAAUCUUGCGCAAUGGGCGAAAGCCUGACGCAGCAACGCCGCGUGAGGGAUGAAGGCCUUCGGGUUGUAAACCUCUUUCAAGCAGGGACGAUAGUGACGGUACCUGCAGAAGAAGCUCCGGCCAACUACGUGCCAGCAGCCGCGGUGAUACGUAGGGAGCGGGCGUUGUCCGGAUUCAUUGGGCGUAAAGAGCUCGUAGGCGGCUCAGUAAGUCAGGUGUGAAAUCCUCAGGCUCAACCUGGGGUCGCCAUCUGAUACUGCUGUGGCUAGAGCCCGGUAGGGGCGCACGGAAUUCCUGGUGUAGCGGUGAAAUGCGCAGAUAUCAGGAGGAACACCGGUGGCGAAGGCGGUGCGCUGGGCCGGAGCUGACGCUGAGGAGCGAAAGCGUGGGGAGCGAACAGGAUUAGAUACCCCAGUAGUCC